GGUGGUUCUCCAGUGACGCAUCCCAGAAUUGGGCUCUCUCCUCUCUGGUUCCAGGUGCGUCACCGGAGAAGUGCA
rfam:Myotis davidii contig63595, whole genome shotgun sequence.